GGGGGCGCACUGGUUUCGACCGGUUUGGUUGCGCUCCGGACUGCGCGCCGGGGGUCCGAGGUCCCCGUCAAUCCACUCGGAACGGCAACUCAAUUGCCAACAACUUUGCAAUCGCAGCCUAGUCAAUAGGCCGCCGUUUCCCGCGGGAGUGCCCGUGGCCUGCGGGAAACGCCAACAGCGGGCUGGUCGGUGAACUCCGCACACCGGUGAGCCGACGAGACCUUUGGAGUGCUGGCCCGAGGGGAGCCUGUUCGUGGGCGCCCGGAGGGUGAGAAACAAACCACGAACUACGCACGUAGACGUCCGGUGUCGAACGAUUUCGGGACGCGGGUUCGAUUCCCGCCGCCUCCACCC
rnacentral:tmRNA from 1 species